rnacentral:rRNA from 1 species
GACGAACGCUGGCGGCGUGCUUAACACAUGCAAGUCGAACGGAAAGGCCCUGCUUUUGUGGGGUGCUCGAGUGGCGAACGGGUGAGUAACACGUGAGUAACCUGCCCUUGACUUUGGGAUAACUUCAGGAAACUGGGGCUAAUACCGGAUAGGAGCUCCUGCUGCAUGGUGGGGGUUGGAAAGUUUCGGCGGUUGGGGAUGGACUCGCGGCUUAUCAGCUUGUUGGUGGGGUAGUGGCUUACCAAGGCUUUGACGGGUAGCCGGCCUGAGAGGGUGACCGGCCACAUUGGGACUGAGAUACGGCCCAGACUCCUACGGGAGGCAGCAGUGGGGAAUAUUGCACAAUGGGCGGAAGCCUAAUGCAGCAACGCCGCGUGCGGGAUGACGGCCUUCGGGUUGUAAACCGCUUUCGCCUGUGACGAAGCGUGAGAGACGGUAAUGGGUAAAGAAGCACCGGCUAACUACGUG